rnacentral:rRNA from 1 species
UACGUAGGGUGCAAGCGUUGUCCGGAAUUAUUGGGCGUAAAGGGCUCGUAGGCGGUCUGUUGCGUCGGGAGUGAAAACUUACAGCUUAACUGUGAGCGUGCUUUCGAUACGGGCAGACUAGAGUGCGGUAGGGGAGACUGGAAUUCCUGGUGUAGCGGUGAAAUGCGCAGAUAUCAGGAGGAACACCGGUGGCGAAGGCGGGUCUCUGGGCCGUAACUGACGCUGAGGAGCGAAAGCAUGGGGAGCGAACAGG